GUAGGGAAUAUUGCACAAUGGAGGAAACUCUGAUGCAGCGACGCCGCGUGAGUGAUGAAGGCCUUCGGGUCGUAAAGCUCUGUCGCAGGGGAAUAACACAAUGAAGGUACCCUGUAAGAAAGGAUCGGCUAACUUCGUGCCAGCAGCCGCGGUAAGACGAGGGAUCCUAGCGUUGUUCGGAAUCAUUGGGCGUAAAGCGGAUGUAGGUGGCUAUGUAAGUCAGAUGUGAAAGCAUGGGGCUCAACCCCAGAAGUGCAUUUGAUACUGCGUAGCUUGAGUGUCGGAGAGGUUACUAGAAUUGUUGGUGUAGUGGUGAAAUACGUAGAUAUCAACAGGAAUACCGGAGGCGAAGGCGGGUAACUGGCCGAACACUGACACUGAGAUCCGAAAGCGUGGGGAUCAAACAGGAUUAGAAACCCCGGUAGUCC
rnacentral:rRNA from 1 species